GGGUCGAUGCCCGAGCGGUUAAUGGGGGCGGACUGUAAAUUCGUUGGCUUGUCCUACGCUGGUUCAAAUCCAGCUCGGCCCA
rnacentral:tRNA from 1 species